CAUUGUUUUACAUUUAGCUAUUUUUUAUUUUUUGCCACCAACUGGAUUUGGGUAGAAAUCCAUACUCUACUACCGCCAUCUAUGUGACGCAGGAAGAGUCACUUCACUUCUCUGAGGUCUCAACCUUUUCUGAUCUGGAAGAUGAAGAGAAAACUAUUGACCUAUUAGUGCCACGGUGAAGUUAAUCAAGAUGCAUAUAAAGCCACUAGGUACUAUGUAAACAUACUACCAUCUGCUGUUGAAUAAGGAUAAGCUUCCUUUCUCAGUGAAAAUUCAACCAAGGGGGACUUUUGCUUGGAGUUCCAGGACUGCACAUUAGUGUUUAUCUGUGACCCGUGGGCAGUUAUCAUCCAAGGCUAAGCUGCCACCCAGAAGAGCUGCCAAGACCAAGCCUGGCAUUCACUGAAUCUCUGCCUCUUUCUCUCUCUGGCUCUACUCCACCAGGGGAUGUGGAACUCAUCAAAUGGGUCUGAGAAGAAGCUUGAUACCAACUUUGCUCACCACUGUAUCAUUCUGGCUUUAGUGUAGAGGACAAAUUGUGGAAUGACAAGAGUUGAUGUGAGGAUUCUGGCAAGUAGUCAUUAGAGUAAGAGCGUUACAGCACCUGACAUAUGCUAAGUAGUCAGUAAGUCAAUAAAUGUUAGCAAUCAGCAUCGUC